rnacentral:rRNA from 1 species
GAUGAACGCUGGCGGCGUGCUUAACACAUGCAAGUCGAACGGAAAGGCUCCUGCUUGCAGGGGUACUCGAGUGGCGAACGGGUGAGUAACACGUGGGUGAUCUGCCCUGCACUUCGGGAUAAGCCUGGGAAACUGGGUCUAAUACCGGAUAGGACGAUGGUUUGGAUGCCAUUGUGGAAAGUUUUUCGGUGUGGGAUGAGCUCGCGGCCUAUCAGCUUGUUGGUGGGGUAAUGGCCUACCAAGGCGUCGACGGGUAGCCGGCCUGAGAGGGUGUACGGCCACAUUGGGACUGAGAUACGGCCCAGACUCCUACGGGAGGCAGCAGUGGGGAAUAUUGCACAAUGGGCGCAAGCCUGAUGCAGCGGCGCCGUGUGGGGGAUGACGGCCUUCGGGUUGUAAACUCCUUUCGCUAGGGACGAAGCGCAAGUGACGGUACCUGGAGAAGAAGCACCGGCUAACUACGUG